rnacentral:rRNA from 1 species
UACGGAGGGUGCGAGCGUUGUCCGGAAUCAUUGGGCGUAAAGGGCGCGUAGGUGGCGGGACAAGCGUGCGGUGAAAGCCUGGGGCUCAACCCCGGGUCGGCCGUGCGAACUGUUUUGCUUGAGCACUGUAGAGGCAGGCGGAAUUCCGGGUGUAGCGGUGGAAUGCGUAGAGAUCCGGAAGAACACCGGUGGCGAAGGCGGCCUACUGGGCAGUAGCUGACACUGAGGCGCGACAGCGUGGGGAGCAAACAGG